CGGGGUGUAGCUCAACUUGGUAGAGCACUGCCUUCGGGAGGUAGUGGCUAGAGGUUCAAAUCCUCUCACCCCGA
rnacentral:tRNA from 1 species